rnacentral:ncRNA from 1 species
AAGUCGUAACAAGGUCUUCUUUAGAAACAAGUCCUUUCGUAGGGUAAACACUUGUGGAAGCCUUAGCUGCCUGAAAAGGUGGAGUCGCCGACUAUAAAGAAGAGACUCCUCAAUUGCUAGUCUGGAUACAUCGAGGCAACAUUGUCAAAUUGCGGGAACACCCUAAAGACCUUUGAGACCAAGCAUGUCUGGAAACAGACCUGUGGCCGGGCUAAUAACCCUGGGUAUGGUAAAACAGCAAAGGUAUGAAGCUUACACAAUGUAAGGCGAAAUGGGUAAUCUGCAGCCAAGUCCUACCCACUCUCUGAGUGCAUGGACGCUGUUCACAGGCCAAAUGACAGUGGGUGUCGCUAAUCAUUGCGACGCUUAAGAUAUGGUCGGUCCUUUGAUGAGAGUCAUUGGGUGAGCUUUACCCUCAGAACGUUUCGUAGGUGAACCUGCGGAAGGAUCAUUAAUGAAGCACAAGAGCGCACUUUAUUGUGGCUCGACCUUCAUAUCCAUCCACACCGUGCACUGUAAUACCUUUUUUAGACCCUACAAGUCAAAGAAUGUACCACUUUAAAUAAAGUAAACAAAA